AUGGUAGCUUCAGCAGCACAUAUACUAAAAUUAGAACAAUACAGAAAAAAAUAUAUAUAUAAUGGCUCCUGCACAAGGAUUACAUGGAACUUUGCAGUGUUCCAUAUUUUU
rnacentral:snRNA from 1 species